UGCAUACAGACCGAUCAUUUUUUCUUCUAGAGCUCAUUCUCUCUUCCUCUUCCAAAUCUGUGGCUCUCAGGCCGUCACAGUUCUGAACCCUAAUACCCAAAUCCAGUUUCCUCUCAUCUAUACGACAUCCUCCAUCUCCAAACACCACCUCCACUUCGCCGGUCACCCACCCUCAUCAAGCAUCGGUCGUCGCCACCACUCACACGACCCAUCUCCGUCGCCGGUCACCCACCACCGUACUCCUUCUCCACCCUGAACCCCAAUCGCCGUCGGACACCUCUUCUGCCGCACACAGUCAUCAUCACCGGCAGGUCGCCGCCCUGAACCACCACCCUUCUACGUCGCCGUCAUCAGGUAUGUCUCCGUCUCUUCUUUCUCUCUCUAUCGAUGUUCCGAGACACCCAUCGUCCUUGCUCCUGUGACAACACAAAACCACCCACACACCCAAUUUUACCGAUUUCACCCCUGUCGCUACCCGAACCUUCCGAAUUCUGCAAUUUGUUUAACCUAAACAAGGAUAAAUUAGAAUUACAUCAUAGAAAUAAUGGUUAAAUAUUGGAUAUUGGAUGGUUUGCUAUAUUGGUUUCAAUCUGAAACGAACACGAUUAAGUUCAUUGAAGUAGGCUUGCGUACCACUACUCGUUUAAGGUAUGUAUCCUAUUUCACUUUGUUCAUAUGUGGCGAAUUGAAGCGAAACAGGUCCAAAUUUUUCCGGACAUGUUUGAAUACAGUUAUUUGUAUUUAUAUGUAUGUUUAUGUUUGCAUAAAAGAAUUGAUUUUUAUAUUUAUAGUUAUACAACGUCCUGUUUUCUCAAUCUGUGUUGAAUCAUGAUGAUGUGUUUGUCUUGGACACUAAAGAUAAGAUCUUUCAAUUUAACGGAGCAAAUUCAAAUAUUCAAGAAAUGGCUAAGGCUUUGGAAGUUAUACAGUUCUUGAAGGAUAAAUAUCAUGAGGGGACAUGCAAUGUUGGGGACGAUAGAAAACUACAAGCCGAGGGAGAUUCGAGUGAAUUUUGGGUUAUUUUUGGCGGGUUUGCUCCUAUUGGCAAAAGGGUUCUAAGUGAUGAUGAUGUCAUCCCCGAAAGGACGCCUGGCAACCUUUAUAGGGUGGAUUAAGCUCCACUUAUAAAAGCUACAUUGCGGAAAAAGGAUUAACCGACGAAAGUGGGGAAGCGACAACCUUUCCAAUUUACAGUGUUCAGCAUAUUUCAGUUCUCAAGUCAAGACAAAUCAACCAACCACUCACCAAGCCAGUCAAGGUGAUUCAACUCCUGCUGCAACCCAUCAACCUAUAAAUUUACAAGACCCAAAUGUGAUUGUCACAAUUUUCAUCAAUCAUGGAUCGUUUUUUGGGUUUGUUAACCACAAUAUUCCUAGCGAUUACGGUUUUCACUGUGUCGGGUCAGAUUAGCACUCCAUGCACGGUGUCAAUGAUUGCUAGCUUCACCUCGUGUGUGAAUUACAUCACGGGGAGUAGCGCAAACAGGGGAUCACCAACCGCAAAUUAUUGUAAAGGGGUUGAAUCCCUUAUGACUACGAGCAUGGACUGCACAUGUGUUAUCGUUACUGGAAACGUUCCGUUUUCACUACCGAGCCCAAUUAACCAACCGUUGGCUAUUACACUCCCUAAAGCGUGCAACUCGAAAAGCGUACCGUUCCAAUGCAAAUCUACCAGUGUUCCUCUGCCUCCUGCAGGUCCUGCAUUAUUCGUUCCUCCGCCGCCGCCCAAAGUUCUUCCACCUGCCGCUGAUUCUCCAGACCUGCCACCAAGCCCUAGCGGUUCCGUGGCAGCAACACCAACGCCAUCUGAAAAGAGCCAAGACGACUUGCAUGAGCCAGACCCACGUGAGUCCAAACCGGUGGCUCCUGAUGCAUUAGCACCAACUCCAACUGCUCCCCAAGGUCCACCGGUUGGUUCAGGCAUCAGACCAGUGCUUACACCAGCAGCAUCAACUUCAAACCAGUUGCAUUGUUCACCGCCAAUUGUGUUGCUACUUGAUAAUACAAUGGGUGGGGAGCAGAAUUUUAACAACAUUUUUUUUGUACAUAUUAAAUACAACCCAGCUUGGCUGCUUCUUGAAUAAAUGGGUUGAAAUUGGCCCAUCAAAUGCCAACAUUCUUCAUAACUUGUUACAUGAGUCAUGUAUCAUGCUCGUGCUAAUUGUUGUUAGAAGUGAGGAUGUACUCGACUCUAUGUGAACUCAGGAAGAUAAAAAGAUUAAAAGUUUGAGAAAUCGAAGAAGGCAGGUCGAAAGCCACCUGUUGAAGCCUUACAAAGGAUUAAAGAAGGCAUGUUCUUUUUGGCAUCUUUUUUUAUAUGUUUGGAUUCCUCUGUUAGAAAAUUGUGUGUACUAAACGGGCCUAGAUCGACUGUUUGAUGCUUAAUGGGUUGGUUAAAUGAAACCGGAUAUUUCUGGGUGAUGCUUGAUGAGUACAACUGGUCAUUUGGGUCGGGUCGGGUAUACGAUGCUAGAUCUUUCAAGUUGAUGCUUGAUGUGUAAAACUGGUCAUCUGGGGCGGUUCGGGUUCAUUAUAUGACGCUGGAUCUUUUCGGUUAGAUUUAUUAUUCUUCCGAAUUGAUUAGUUGCUCUUGAAUAUCAAAUUUGAUGUUUUAUUAUUUCA